rnacentral:rRNA from 1 species
GUCCAGACUCCUACGGGAGGCAGCAGUGGGGAAUAUUGCACAAUGGGGGGAACCCUGAUGCAGCGACGCCGCGUGGGUGAAGAAGUCAUUCGUGACGUAAAGCCCCAUCAGCAGGGAAGAAAAUGACGGUACCUGACUAAGAAGCCCCGGCUAACUACGUGCCAGCAGCCGCGGUAAUACGUAGGGGGCAAGCGUUAUCCGGAUUUACUGGGUGUAAAGGGAGCGUAGACGGCCAAGCAAGCCAGGGGUGAAAGCCCGGGGCCCAACCCCGGGACUGCCCUUGGAACUGCAUGGCUGGAGUGCGGGAGGGGCAGGCGGAAUUCCUGGUGUAGCGGUGAAAUGCGUAGAUAUCAGGAGGAACACCGGCGGCGAAGGCGGCCUGCUGGACUGCAACUGACGUUGAGGCCCGAAAGCGUGGGGAGCAAACAGGAUUAGAUACCCUAGUA